rnacentral:rRNA from 1 species
UCAGGACGAACGCUGGCGGCGUGCCUAACACAUGCAAGUCGAACGGAGUCAGGAAGCUUGCUUUUGACUUAGUGGCGGACGGGUGAGUAACGCGUGAGUAACCUGCCUCUGAGAGGGGAAUAACGUUCUGAAAAGAACGCUAAUACCGCAUAACGUAUUGAAGCCGCAUGACUUUGAUACCAAAGAUUUUAUCGCUCGGAGAUGGACUCGCGUCCGAUUAGUUAGUUGGUGAGGUAACGGCUCACCAAGACCGCGAUCGGUAGCCGGACUGAGAGGUUGAUCGGCCACAUUGGGACUGAGACACGGCCCAGACUCCUACGGGAGGCAGCAGUGGGGGAUAUUGCGCAAUGGGGGCAACCCUGAACCGCAGCAACGCCGCGUGAAGGAUGAAGGUUUUCGGAUUGUAAACUUCUUUUAUCAGGGACGAAAUCUGACGGUACCUGAUGAAUAAGCUCCGGCUAACUACGUGCCAGCAGCGGC